GUAUUCACUUUGGCAGCACGUAUACUGAAAUUGGAACCACACAGAGCACUUUAGCAUGGCUCUUGUGCAAGAAUGACAAGCACAUUCAUGAGGCUAAGGCAUUCCAC
ensembl:snRNA U6 U6 spliceosomal RNA